UACGGAGGGGGCUAGCGUUGUCCGGAAUUACUGGGCGUAAAGCGCUCGUAGGCGGCUUUGUAAGUCAGGGGUGAAAUCCCGAGGCUCAACCUCGGAACUGCCUUUGAUACUGCAAAUCUCGAGUCCGGAAGAGGUGAGUGGAAUUCCUAGUGUAGAGGUGAAAUGCGUAGAUAUUAGGAAGAACACCAGUGGCGAAGGCGGCUCACUGGUCCGGUACUGACGCUGAGGUGCGAAAGCGUGGGGAGCAAACAGG
rnacentral:rRNA from 1 species